GAGCCUAGGUCGGAUUAGCUAGUUGGUGGGGUAAUGGCUCACCAAGGCGACGAUCCGUAACUGGUCUGAGAGGAUGAUCAGUCACACUGGAACUGAGACACGGUCCAGACUCCUACGGGAGGCAGCAGUGGGGAAUAUUGGACAAUGGGCGAAAGCCUGAUCCAGAAGUGCCGCGUGUGUGAAGAAGGUCUUCGGAUUGUAAAGCAAUUGGAGUUGGAGGAAGGGCAGUAAAUUAAUACUUUGCUGUUUGACGUA
rnacentral:rRNA from 1 species